AUCACUAGGUUGUUCAGGGUGUACCUCUCAGCCAGGGCAGAACAAGGCUUCCAUCACUAGGGUUGUUCACUGUGUACCUGUCAGCCAGGGCAGAACAAGGCUUCCAUCACUAGCGUUGUUCAGGGUGUACCUCUCAGCCAGGGCAGAACAAGCUUCCAUCACUAGGGUUGUUCACUGUGUACCUCUCAGCCAGGGCAGAACAAGGCUUCCAUCACUAGCGUUGUUCAGGGUGUACCUCUCAGCCAGGGCAGAACAAGGCUUCCAUCACUAGCACAACUGCUUGCUCCGGCAGAAAUAUCACCCAGUCUAAUAUCACAUAACAAGUACUUCAGUGUAUCAAUUCAGUUUCAGCUGUAACUUUGCAAUCAAUUGACAUUACACAUUGUCAGUGUAAGGAAAAUAUAUUAUGAAUGGUUUGUUGUGGAUCAUUUCAUCAUAAUUUCCUUUUUUUUWUUUWUAUAGCUGUUAUAGAAACAGAACUUGUAUGGSGCUUGUCAGACCUGAAUACAUCUUGGAGAGGCAUUGGUACUUGCCUUAUUUUUAAAUCCUUGUCCUCCAGGACCUUCAGUAAAACAGGACAUGUUGUAAAUAUCUAAUAAAUACGAUUUUAAUAUCCUCUGCCA